rnacentral:lncRNA from 1 species
AGGGCUGAGGUGUUCACACCUGCCCACGGCAGCCUGCCUCGCCCUCAAGCGCCUCAAAGCUUCCUAAGCGCUUACAUUGGUCUUGGGACAGCCGACUUUGGCUUCUUUGUUUGUUUGAGGGACCGCGGAAGUGGCGGGGAAUGUGCCCCCGCUUGAGACCGCUUAUUGUGAGCCCUCAACGGAAAUCCUGCACGGAAGGCAACCGCCUCCCCGCUCGCGGUAAGCAGGAUCCACCCGAGUAGCGGGGACCGAAUCCCAUCUUUCUUAUCUCUCGAAGACUCCUUUCAGGCUGAGAUCAGAGAGGGAGGGAAAAAGAAGAGAGAAUCAUUGUUCUUCUUUUUUUAAUUUAAUAUACCAAGCCACCAGCUCAGAAGGCUUCAUUUGCUCUGAGUUAUCAUUGAGAACUAAAUGGAGAAGAAAAGAACUGAAGGCCUGAAGAUAUGUCAUCUGUAGAAAAGAUGGACAUCUGAAAUCAUCAAACCCUUGAGAGAAACAGCCCUCAUUCUUUUAUGAGACAACCUGGAAGAAAACAGGACUCUGAAGAUUUGUCUCCAUAUUCUCUGGAAAGAUGUACUCUGUUUGCAAUAAGAGGGAGCCACAUGGUUUAUUAGAUGGUUAUUAAUUGAGCAUUCUGUGCAAAGAAGUUUGUGCCUUAGAUUUAGAAUUCCACCCUCAGUUGGAAUACAGAUGAUCCCUAACAAGUCACAUGAAAAAAUGAACUGUGGAGCCAGAAGAGUGAGUUCUUGGAGAACUAAGGGCCAGAGACCUGUGAGCAAGAUUUGAUAAUUUUAUAAAAAUUAAAAGACGAUUUGAAAUGUUAUUGGUCUUACUAAAACUUUUACUUGUGAACUGCAAUUGAUGACAUGAUCACUUGUGCCAAUUAUAAUUUUAUACCAAAGGACUGCAGAGCAUUGGAUGGGUUUGUUGGGCAGGUUUCUCACAAACGCUGACAGAAAGGUAUGACGAAGGAUGGGAGGACAAACUGGGGGGGUGCCAAGUAGAAAAACAGAAGCGAUGGCUAAGUGCUCGUCCUGGACUCUGCCCUUUGAUAAGGGACUGAAGGUCCCUUAUGAUCUUCUUUCAAAUUCCACCGUCACAGUUUUAGUCACAUCCAUCUAUAAUAUUAUUUACUAUCAGACUUUUCUUUAAAUUGACUCGCUUUUUCACUUUAGCCUUAUCCCAAGCAAUAAUGCAUAUAAAUCAUAAGUUUGUUGUAAUAGAUUUUUUGUAAUACUAAUCAAAAUUAAAUUUAUUCCCCUGUAACAGAGAUAAUUUCUCAAAUUACUUUGGAAAACACCAAUUUAAAGUGCUCAGUUUACCACUUGAGGAAAAUGAGAGAUCAGAGGAGUAAAGCCAAUUUUCCAAGGUCACACAGCCUGACAACUGGAAAUCCUGGCCUAGCACCUAAGUCUUUUAGGUAUUGGCCCAGUACUCUUUCCUUCUAUCAUCUUUCUCAGAGGCAAAGAAAAAAAAAAAAACUAUCAGGCAAUUAGCACUAUCUCUUGAGGGUAGAGGGCGUGAAGAUUCACCAGGUUCUCUCAUAAAGUUUAAACACUUUCUCGGUGGUGCUAAACCUUAUCUUGGUUACUCAGACUGUCUUCAGUCUGUUAAUUAUAUUGCAUAAAACCUAACACAUUUCCAUGAAAGGAGCUCUAAGGGAAGAAGGACCUGAAUGGGUUUUGAGAGCCAGGGCCUGCCUAUCCUUUAAGAAGGUCGUCUGGGCAGGAGAAAGCAGGAAGGGAAGGGAAAGGCCACUAACCAUAAGCAGUCCAAUUGUGGGUAAGUCACUAGUGUCAAGGAAUGUAGUCUCCUCAGUCAGGCAGGGUCCAGGUGCUGCAUACUGCCCAAACUGCCUGCCUUCCCCUGGAUAUUUGUUUUAUCUUGGAGCAUGUCGUGGCCUCAGAGAACUGAAUUCUUAAUCUGUGGCCUUUCAAAGUCUAUGGUUGUUUCCAACAUCACAUUGUCUCAGAUUUGUUACUCGCAGCACAGAUUCGAAAUGAGCCUUCAGUAAAAGUAAAAAGAAAGGAAGAAAGAAAGAAAGAAAGAAAGAAAGAAAGAAAGAAAGAAAGAAAGAAAGAAAGAAGAAAGAAAGAGAAAGAAAGAAAGAAGAAAGAAAGAAAGAAAGAAAGAAAGAAAGAAAGAAAGAAAGAAAGAAAGAAAGAAAAGAAAGAAAGCCAGCCAGUGGAAGAGUUUAGCCCCCACAAAAGCAAAAAGCACCCAGCAAAUCAAGCAUUUUCUUGCAGACUUGUGCUAAUUUUGUUUAUUUGUUUAUUACAAGGUGCUCUAAACCUCCUGGGGUAUUCCACAGCUUUAAUGACUAUGUGUAACACCACCUAGCUAACACUGCUUUUCCAUUCAGUCAACUCAGUCUCACAGCAGUCCUCACAACUACGUGGUUUCAGGUAUUAUUUUACAGAGGAGGCUGGAGCUUUGGGAAGUUAAGUGGCUUGCCUACAGUCACAAAGCCAAUACGAAGAGGACCUGAAACUCAGAUCUUUUUUCCCUCCCAGUUUGGGAUUCUUGCUAUCACCCUAUCACACUUCUAGACCUGUAUCUCUUGCAUCUCUAUCGUUCUUUCCUCAAGUCAACAUACAUUUCUCCAGAGUCCUAAUGUCCUUCAUCUUACCUUGGCACAAUAAGCAAUUCAUUGGGACUUUUCCGCUUUGGAUUUGUUUUGUCUUUCUCAUUCUUUUGAGGCUGCAGAUUAGCAUUUUGGCUAAUCACUUGGGUAUUAAAAGUUAGACCCUCUGGGCCUAAAUCCUAGAACUACUCCUUGCUAGCUAUGCCAACAUUAGCAAGUUGCUUAACCUCUCUGUGUCUCACUUACCUCAUCUGCAAAAUGGAAAUUGAAAUAGUCUUCGUAGGUAAUGAUAGCCUUGAAGGCCUUACAGGAUUAUUUUGAGGAUUAAAGGACACAAUGGUUGUAAAGUACUUAAGUAUCAUGCCACGCAAUUAAUGUUAGAUAUAAUUUUGAGUGUUUUCUCUUUUUUCACCCCUUUAAAAAAUCUUCUUUUGAAUUCAGGAUUCCUUUUCCCCAUAUAUUUUUAUGGUGAAUGAGAAUAUCGGCUUAGGGUCUACUCUGUUCAUCUCUUGAAAACGACAUUAUACUUUUUCUUCUAAAAAAUGAUACAAAGAGAAUCCCCAGCCUUUUCCCCCUCUCCCUGUGGCUACAGUUUUCCCAUCAUUUUAAAAGGUUAUUUCUUUUCUUCAUAGCACAAUGUGGUGGGAUGAAGGGGAAAUGGUUUAGAAAAUUUUAAAUUGAUGUAUCUUAUUUGUUUCCCCCAGUUAUAUUGAAAAGAAGAAAAUCUCUCCAGUUUCAGAAACACUGGCCUUUUGGAUACUGAGGAGUUGGAAAUGGAAAGGGGAUUUUAAUGAGUUUCUCGGCAAUGAGGCUAGAGAAAAUAUUAUCCAUCUCCCCCUGUUCUCCAAUUCAGCAGCUCGGACUCCUGUUUUCAUCACAGUCCUGUUAGAUAAUUACAGCCCCAAAGGCCUCCUGUUCCUUCUUUCUGUGUUCCCUGAAUCUUCUUUCCCAGAGCCAGGACCUCUUGGAAAUUCUCAGCCUCUGUUAGUUGCCCGCUCUGGGAGCCCGACUCCUCACAUCCGUCAUCUCUUUCUUCUCCCCCUUCACCUGCUGUAGUGUCCCCACUGUCUCUCUUUACCUCAGCUCCUUACCAUUCCUUUCCCUCUACACCCUUUUCCUUUGGUUCAUAGUCAGGAUGUGCUAGUUGCAUUCAAGCCCUUUUUGAUACUAAGAAUUCAGGGGGACAAAUCCAAACCCUGGAGACUACUGUCUUCCCCUUAGUGAUGCUAAUGAAUAUAAUUCCUGAUCUGAAAUUACCUGCACUUUAUUUGGCUCCAUCUACUUUUCUGCCACUUACUCCCUGUAUAACCAUAGGCUACGUACCCUACCUCUCUCUGGGUUUGUUUACUCCUCAGUUAAAAGGAGGAUUAAAAUGGCAAUCACAACACCUUGCUACAGAUAUGUUAGGAAGAUUAAAUGGGAUAACAUGCAGGGUGCCUAGCCUUCCUGGCAUAUAGUAAAUGCCUAUAAAAUAUAACAAGUGUCAUGUAUUAUUAUUAAAUUGUAUCUACCUGGUAGAA